rnacentral:rRNA from 1 species
UACGGAGGGUGCAAGCGUUAUCCGGAUUCACUGGGUUUAAAGGGUGCGUAGGUGGGCAGGUAAGUCAGUGGUGAAAUCCUGUAGCUUAACUACAGAACUGCCAUUGAUACUAUUUGUCUUGAAUGCCCUGGAGGUGAGCGGAAUAUGUCAUGUAGCGGUGAAAUGCUUAGAUAUGACAUAGAACAUCUAUUGCGAAGGCAGCUCACUACGGGAAUAUUGACGCUGAGGCACGAAAGCGUGGGGAUCAAACAGG